rnacentral:tRNA from 1 species
GGCCUGAUAGCUCAACUGGCAGAGCAUCACAGAGGUCAGGGUUCGAGUCCCCAUUCAAGCCU